GCGAGCCUACGGGGCGCAGCAGUGAGGAAUAUUGGUCAAUGGUCGGGAGACUGAACCAGCCAAGCCGCGUGAGGGAUGAAGGUACAGAGUAUCGUAAACCUCUUUUGUCAGGGAACAAGGGCGGGGACGCGUCCCCGGAUGAGUGUACCUGAAGAAAAAGCAUCGGCUAACUCCCUGCCAGCAGCCGCGGUAAUACGGAGGAUGCGAGCGUUAUCCGGAUUUAUUUGGUUUAAAGGGUGCGCAGGCGGUCUGUUAAGCAAGCG
rnacentral:rRNA from 1 species